rnacentral:rRNA from 1 species
GCAUAUCAAUAAGCGGAGGAAAAGAAAAUAACAAUGAUUCCCCUAGUAACUGCGAGUGAAGAGGGACAAGCUCAAAUUUUAAAUCUAUCGGGUUUUACCUGAUCGAGUUGUAAUUUGAAGAAGCGUUUUCUGCGUAUUUGGUCAGCCUAAGUCCUAUUGAAUGAGGCAUCAUGGAGGGUGAUAAUCCCGUCCGGUUGAUCAUUUGCGUUUUACGAUACGCUUUCUAAGAGUCAAGUUGUUUGGGAUUGCAGCUUAAAAUGGGAGGUAAAUUUCUCCUAAGGCUAAAUAACGGCGAGAGACCGAUAGCGAACAAGUACCGUGAGGGAAAGAUGAAAAGAACUUUGAAAAGAGAGUUAAACAGUACGUGAAAUUGUUGAAAGGGAAACGAUUGAAGCCAGUCGUACCUUCGGGUAAUCAGCCUUUCGGGUGUGAUUCUGUGGAGUUUGAGGAGCUUUAACACCUUCAUGCUUUGCAUAUUCGUGCUCUUGGGUGUACUUGCCCGUGUGGUUGGUUAACAUCAAUUUCGGGCACCAUAAAAUGGCUGGAGGAAUGUAGCUUCGAUCUUGUAUUGAAGUGUUAUAGCCUUCGGUAGAUGUGGUGAUCGAGAUUGAGGAUUGCAACGGAUACCUUUCGGGGCUACCUGUCUGAUCUCUGAUCGUUGCUUUGGUGCUGAGAGCGUGCUUAUAGUUAUCAAAGUCGAUGGUUAAUAGGUUAGAAUGGGUUAAAUUCGUUAGGGAUGUUGACGUAAUGGCUUUAAACGAC